UAUGAGAAAUAGAUUUAUCGGUAAGUAAAAUCUUAUUUUAUCUACCCUAUUAGGUGCACAGUAUUUAUCUGCCCUAUUAGGUGCAUGGGUUCACUGUGGUGUGUGUGUGUGUGUGUGUGUGUAUAUAGAUAUAUAUAGAUAUGUUUGUAUAUAUAUAUUUAAGUGUGUGGGUAUGUAUAUAGAUAUAUCCAUACAAUACCAUAUAUAGGGAAUAAAACAAACACUUCCGCAAUGUUUUCUAGAAACAGAAUACCCCACCUUGCCACAUAACAUUUUCACCCAUCUUUUCUCACAGGCUGGUCACCAUUUUGAAAAGCCAGCGGAACCUCCGAGAAACAUCGGGUGCACCUUAAUUAGCGGUACACUACAUACAGGGCGGGGUGUUGCCUUCCCUUUAUUAUUCCUUGGUGUCACUAGUUACUAAUGCUAUUUGUAAUUGGGGAAUGUGUGUAAGGCAUCAGACAAAUAGCGCUGUGGCUCAGUACGCUAGUAGCGGGUACCUGAACAGGGGUUUGAAUCCAAACAAAACUUUAAGGAGAGCUCCUAUAGCCUAGGGCUAAGACUCCUGUCCCACAGCGCAGCGUUACUGGUUCAGGUCUCCGCUGCUCCAGAAAGUUUAUUUGAAUCGUGUCGGUCACUACACAUUAUAGUGCAGACCUUACAUAGGGCUGUGUUUGUUUAACCCACCUUUUCUCCUUUCGUUUGUCUCACCUGGGAUAGUCAAAGAAUUCCCUCUUAGGUGUGAAGUAUGUGGUGGAGCCAUCUGCAGAGCCCUCCACGCACCUGCAGGACACUCCUGUUUGAACAGCUCAGAUUAUACAGGUAAUGUCACUGGUAACCAGAGACCUUGUACGUCAUUUCACCUCUCCAGGUUUCUAAAGGAACCUUGCUAACCUUCCAUGUUACAAUACUGAUGAUGUCUGUUUUCUGUGGAGUCUGAACCUGUGUCUCAGAAUAUCCAGGUGCAUUAUACAGCAGUUCGUCUGAGACUGCAGGUAAAGGAGGCGGACACGUCAAGUCCAUCAGGGUUCGACGCCGAUGACGAAAUGACAGCGACUGGUCCAGUUUCGGAUGAGCUGGGCAGGCUCCGGUAGACGGCCGGCAGACACCCGAAUACACAAUUUCAGGUAUCAAACAAUGUUUGUUUUCCUAUCCUUUCCCCGCAGACGGCAGGAAAGGGUAUCAUAACCUCUCCAGGGUAUACCCCUCGAUGUAUCGCCGGUCCAACAAGCUGCCGUUUUCCUGAGGCAACCUUGCUCAGGGAUCCAUCGAAGACAUAUACGGCAGCAGGGUUCUACCUUGUCCGGAGCAGAGGUCUCCACGUCUGCAGUCUCGGAACCUGCAUUUUCGCUUUGGGCUGUCUUAACCCGACGACCUCUGGGGCUGCGACAGUGACAGGUGAACAUGAAAUCCUACGGGGCAGAUGGUUCAGGGGAAGGAACUUUCUGCAGGAUUUCUUGAACCAUUGGAGGAAGUGGCAUGCUAAUCGCCUCUGCUAGCAGAUGGGGGAAUGACAAAACCUUUUUGAUGUUGGACAAUGCACGGCAGAAAAGACCAUAGUUUUUAACCAUCGCCUCUCCAUCAUUCUGGAACUGGGGAUUUAUGGAAACUGACCCCACUAAGAAACCCAGAUAGGAGGAUACCAGAGUGAGU